CUUUGCUGACGAGCGGCGGACGGGUGCGUAACACGUAGGAAUCUGCCCGGUAGUGGGGGAUAGCCCGGAGAAAUUCGGAUUAAUACCGCAUACGCCCUAAGGGGGAAAGCAGGGGAUCUUCGGACCUUGCGCUAUCGGAUGAGCCUGCGUCGGAUUAGCUAGUUGGUGGGGUAAAGGCCCACCAAGGCAACGAUCCGUAGCUGGUCUGAGAGGAUGAUCAGCCACACUGGGACUGAGACACGGCCCAGACUCCUACGGGAGGCAGCAGUGGGGAAUAUUGCACAAUGGGCGAAAGCCUGAUGCAGCCAUGCCGCGUGUGUGAAGAAGGCCCUAGGGUUGUAAAGCACUUUCAGUGGGGAGGAAAGGUUGAAGGUUAAUACCCUUCAGCUGUGACGUUACCCACAGAAGAAGCACCGGCUAACUCCGUGCCAGCAGCCGCGGUAAUACGGAGGGUGCGAGCGUUAAUCGGAAUUACUGGGCGUAAAGCGUGCGUAGGCGGCUUUUUAAGUUGGAUGUGAAAGCCCCGGGCUUAACCUGGGAACUGCAUCCAAAACUGGAAGGCUUGAGUGCGAGAGAAGAGUGUGGAAUUUCCUGUGUAGCGGUGAAAUGCGUAGAUAUAGGAUGGAACACCAGUGGCGAAGGCGACACUCUGGCUCGACACUGACGCUGAGGUACGAAAGCGUG
rnacentral:rRNA from 1 species